rnacentral:rRNA from 1 species
ACGGAAGGCAGCAGUGGGGAAUAUUGCACAAUGGGGGAAACCCUGAUGCAGCGACGCCGCGUGAGUGAUGAAGUAUUUCGGUAUGUAAAGCUCUAUCAGCAGGGAAGAAAAUGACGGUACCUGACUAAGAAGCACCGGCUAAAUACGUGCCAGCAGCCGCGGUAAUACGUAUGGUGCAAGCGUUAUCCGGAUUUACUGGGUGUAAAGGGAGCGUAGGCGGCAUGGCAAGCCAGAUGUGAAAGCCCGGGGCCCAACCCCGGAACUGCAUUUGGAACUGUCUAGCUAGAGUAUCGGAGAGGUAAGUGGAAUUCCUAGUGUAGCGGUGAAAUGCGUAGAUAUUAGGAGGAACGCCAGUGGCGAAGGCGGCUUACUGGACGAUAACUGACGUUGAGGCUCGAAAGCGUGGGGAGCAAACAGGAUUAGAUACCCUGGUA